UUGCUUGAACUGGGGGUUGGACUAGAAGACUUCCCUUGAAGUUCUAUUAUUCUGUUAUAUCUGGAGGUUUUCUUAUUGGCUAGGUCUCAUGCUGCUACACCACCUGGACAAUUUCUGACUGGCUAGGUCUCAUGAUGUGCCAUCUAGUGUAUAAUACUUGAAUGUUGAUUUGUGGGAGAAUUCUGAUUCUUAGAUGUCUGCAAAGAUUACAAAAUUCAAAACAUCGUUCUACUCAACAUAUUUCUUGCCAAGUGGAUAUUUGGCUACUCUGAUACUCCUCCAGUACUAUUGUUCAAACUGCCUAUGCAUUGAUACUAAUUGAUUUUGAACACAACAAUUUUCUAGCUUUGUGCUACCCUUUUUAAGGGGUGAUAAUCAGAAAUAUACAUGACAUACCAAGUGUGUUUUCUUCAUAGAUAUAUCCAAAAGUAUUAUUAUACUGGCAGUUAUAUUUUCAAUUCUUUUCCUAACAAAUCCCAAAUAUGCAGUUCACCUGGGCUGAUAUUUUCAUUGAGUUGUUAAUCAAUAUCCCUUU